CCUUCAUCUGCACAGAGUGGAAACAACAAGAAGAGCAUCAAAAAAUUAGAGCGAUGUCUCUUUAGUUUCGUAUCAAUCACGCCCUGAGAAGAUUUCAUUUCCCGACAUGUUGCUGCUUCUUUAAUGAUUAACUCCUGUAAACACAGACUGAGAGCUCAACUGGACUGGAUCCAGGUUACCAUGGGACUCUGGCUUCACCAAAACAAGCACAAUCCAAUGAGGAGCUCUCUGAAGGACCAGACUACUUUCUCCUUCGGGACGUCUUUGGUGCCGCACACACUCUUCUAGCAGACUGCGGAGGAUCUGC